rnacentral:lncRNA from 1 species
CUACAAAAUAAAAAUUGGACAAUGUAAAAGAUAAAAUACUGGAUUACCUCCCAAUCAAGCAUUAAGUUUAAGAUCUUCAACUAGACCAAAGCAGCUCAUUGUUGGUCGUAUGGUAGAUCCACCAAGUAGAUGAUAUCGAUUAGUUCUUUGUUCUGAAUUUUAUCUAUGUCACGUCUCAAAUCUAGGAUAUAAUACGAUCAUACUACUGAGG